rnacentral:rRNA from 1 species
AGUGAACGCUGGCGGUAGGCCUAACACAUGCAAGUCGAACGGCAGCACAGUAAGAGCUUGCUCUUACGGGUGGCGAGUGGCGGACGGGUGAGGAAUACAUCGGAAUCUACUUUUUCGUGGGGGAUAACGUAGGGAAACUUACGCUAAUACCGCAUACGACCUACGGGUGAAAGCAGGGGAUCUUCGGACCUUGCGCGAUUGAAUGAGCCGAUGUCGGAUUAGCUAGUUGGCGGGGUAAGGGCCCACCAAGGCGACGAUCCGUAGCUGGUCUGAGAGGAUGAUCAGCCACACUGGAACUGAGACACGGUCCAGACUCCUACGGGAGGCAGCAGUGGGGAAUAUUGGACAAUGGGCGCAAGCCUGAUCCAGCCAUACCGCGUGGGUGAAGAAGGCCUGGGUUGUAAAGCCCUUUUGUUGGGAAAGAAAAGCAGCAGGUUAAUACCCCGCUGUUCUGACGGUACCCAAAGAAUAAGCACCGGCUAACUUCGUG